GCCGGGGUCAUGUCGGGUUCCGGGCGCGCCGGCCGGGACGGUGCGGCGGGUUUGACCGCCGGCUCCGGCUCGGGUUCGGGCUCCGGUUC
rnacentral:tRNA from 1 species